GGGGAAUAUUGGACAUUGGGGGGAACCCUGAUCCAGCCAUGCCGCGUGUGUGAAGAAGGCCUUAUGGUUGUAAAGCACUUUAAGCGAGGAGGAGGCUCGUUUGGUUAAUACCCAAGAUUAGUGGACGUUACUCGCAGAAUAAGCACCGGCUAACUCUGUGCCAGCAGCCGCGGUAAUACAGAGGGUGCGAGCGUUAAUCGGAUUUACUGGGCGUAAAGCGUGCGUAGGCGGCUUUUUAAGUCGGAUGUGAAAUCCCCGAGCUUAACUUGGGAAUUGCAUUCGAUACUGGGAAGCUAGAGUAUGGGAGAGGAUGGUAGAAUUCCAGGUGUAGCGGUGAAAUGCGUAGAGAUCUGGAGGAAUACCGAUGGCGAAGGCAAUCCCCUGGACCUGUACUGACGCUCAUGCACGAAAGCGUGGGGAGCAAACA
rnacentral:rRNA from 1 species